UUAAAGAAUGGAAUAGUCACAUCUCGCAGAUACUAGAAAGUAAGAGAAAAACUUGACAAGAAGCAACACAAAUGGCCACCAAUAGGAAAGAAUGGAGGAAGUUCAUUGAGAGUUAGACGAAACUCCCGACACCUCAGAAGAUUAAGACACUGAUUAAGAUUGAAUGAAUGGCUCAACACCGAAAGGUAUCAAUGAGUCUACUGAUUAAGUAAGUAAAGAAAUAAGUUUUUUCACAUCACCUUUUAGUUCAAUUGUCAAACAUUAAAGAGCAGGUGUCCAAGAAUCAAGAAAAGAGAAAAUCAUCGGCAAUAGAAGAGGUGUGAGUGAUAUGAAUUAAAAAAAAUAAUAAUAGAUUAAACAAAAUUGUAGAAAUAAAUAUCUGC
rnacentral:lncRNA from 1 species